CAACCAUCUGGCUCCUGAACCAGAGGGGAUAACCUCACUCAACUUCACUCACCCCGUCACAGAACUGUUCCCACAGCCUAUGGACUCUUCAUUUCAUGUUCUAGAAACUGAAGUCUUUAAACAAAACAAAGAAAACUUUGAAGGAAAGAAGAGUCAAAUGACUGUGGUUGAUUGGAGAACCAAGCUAAAAGAUUUACGUAGAGAUCUUCAAUUUGAGAAGAGGACAACUGCUGGAUAAUGUCUGAAGUUUAUUUAAAAUAGCG